rnacentral:rRNA from 1 species
AUUGAACGCUGGCGGCAUGCUUUACACAUGCAAGUCGAACGGUAACAGGCCGCAAGGUGCUGACGAGUGGCGAACGGGUGAGUAAUGCAUCGGAACGUGCCCAGUCGUGGGGGAUAACGCAGCGAAAGCUGUGCUAAUACCGCAUACGAUCUAUGGAUGAAAGCGGGGGACCGUAAGGCCUCGCGCGAUUGGAGCGGCCGAUGUCAGAUUAGGUAGUUGGUGGGGUAAAGGCCUACCAAGCCGACGAUCUGUAGCUGGUCUGGGAGGACGGCCAGCCACACUGGGACUGAGAGACGGCCCAGACUCCUACGGGAGGCAGCAGUGGGGAAUUUUGGACAAUGGGCGCAAGCCUGAUCCAGCAAUGCCGCGUGCAGGAAGAAGGCCUUCGGGUUGUAAACUGCUUUUGUACGGAACGAAACGGUCUGGGUUAAUACCCUGGGCUAAUGACGGUACCGUAAGAAUAAGCACCGGCUAACUACGUGCCAGCCGCCGCAGUAACAC